rnacentral:tRNA from 1 species
UCUCCGUGGCCAAAUUGGAUACGGCAUGUGACUUCUAAUCACAAGAUUGCGGGUUCGAGCCCCGCCGGAGAUUU